rnacentral:rRNA from 1 species
AGAGUUGAUCAUGGCUCAGAACGAACGCUGGCGGCGCGUUUAAGCAUGCAAGUCGAGCGGCAAGGGCCUUCGGGCCCCUAGAGCGGCGGACGGGUGAGUAACACGUGGACAAUCUGCCCCCCGGCCCGGGAUAGCCCAGGGAAACCUGGAUUAAUACCGGAUGAGACGGGACCCGCGAUGGCGGGAUCCGGGAAAGGCGCUGCGGCGCCGCCGGGGGAUGAGUCUGCGUCCCAUUAGCUAGACGGCGGGGUAACGGCCCACCGUGGCGACGAUGGGUAGCCGGCCUGAGAGGGUGGACGGCCACAUUGGAACUGAGACACGGUCCAGACUCCUACGGGAGGCAGCAGCUAAGAAUCUUCCGCAAUGGGCGAAAGCCUGACGGAGCGACGCCCGCGUGAACGAAGAAGGCCGUGAGGUUGUAAAGUUCUUUUCGGGAGGGGGAACAACCGUGGCAGGGAAUGGCCGCGGGAUGACGUGAAUCCCGGAAUAAGCCCCGGCUAACUACGUGCCAGCAGCCGC